GGGAAGAAGUGUUACAAAUGGCGGACUACAGUGCGAAGCGUACGACGGAAGACCUUCCACCGGCUGGUCCCCCACCUAAAACAUAACGGCCUUUUGCUAGAACAGCAGACAAAGACCGGAGUAGAACUAGAAUCAACAUUGGGCUGGCUUUUCCACGAUGGAGAGCCCUACGCUCAACGAAGGGGCUCGAACACGAUACCCCGAUAGAUUCCUACUGGUCCAGGCAUAAACGUUUCUAUUUUUUAGUCACUGACUAGAGAAAAAAAACAAUAUCAUACGCUCUGCUUAUUUGAAUGGUUUGAAAAGGGUCCUGCAGGCCAGGAUUGUGUCGAGGAGGCUCUGUUCAGGAGCAGGGAUGCCCCUGACAAGGGAACAGCGUCCAGGCGACCCUCGGAAGCUUGGACCAUUGGCACCCAUUCCCCCCCCACCCACUGCAGAACUUGCUGAGAAACAACUCAGACGAGGUCUUGAUCCAGCACAGCCAGAAUGACAACAAGAGCUGUUGUGAAAGCACAUGGCCUCCUUUUCUACGAACAUUCAUCUGCAGUUUCUGGCUACAAGUACAGCUGCUGUAAUAUAGGAGGACUGCAUGCUGUGGUAAAACCAGUAAUUUGCUCCCCGCAUCAAAACAAAAGUGCCUUUUGCUUCGACCCUUGAACCAAUCACUUCAAACGCACUUUUUUUUUUUUAAUGCACUUUAUGGACUUUGUCAAACAAAUAUCCAUUUUGCACCAAUGGUGCUGUUUAAUCACAAGCUGCUAAGUUCAAUAAUACCAGCAUGGUCUAUUUUUUAUUUUCAAGAUGUACGAACACAUUUUGCAUUUUUUGUCUAAAUGUUCAGAGCAUUAUUUCAAAAA